CACCAGAUGAAACUAGAUACAAGCGAGCGGCGGACGGGUGAGUAACACGUGGGUAACCUGCCCAAGAGACUGGGAUAACACCUGGAAACAGAUGUUAAUACCGGAUAACAACACUAGACGCAUGUCUAGAGUUUAAAAGAUGGUUCUGCUAUCACUCUUGGAUGGACCUGCGGUGCAUUAGCUAGUUGGUAAGGUAACGGCUUACCAAGGCAAUGAUGCAUAGCCGAGUUGAGAGACUGAUCGGCCACAUUGGGACUGAGACACGGCCCAAACUCCUACGGGAGGCAGCAGUAGGGAAUCUUCCACAAUGGACGCAAGUCUGAUGGAGCAACGCCGCGUGAGUGAAGAAGGGUUUCGGCUCGUAAAGCUCUGUUGGUAGUGAAGAAAGAUAGAGGUAGUAACUGGCCUUUAUUUGACGGUAAUUACUUAGAAAGUCACGGCUAACUACGUGCCAGCAGCCGCGGUAAUACGUAGGUGGCAAGCGUUGUCCGGAUUUAUUGGGCGUAAAGCGAGUGCAGGCGGUUCAAUAAGUCUGAUGUGAAAGCCUUCGGCUCAACCGGAGAAUUGCAUCAGAAACUGUUGAACUUGAGUGCAGAAGAGGAGAGUGGAACUCCAUGUGUAGCGGUGGAAUGCGUAGAUAUAUGGAGGAACACCAGUGGCGAAGGCGGCUCUCUGGUCUGCAACU
rnacentral:rRNA from 1 species